AUUAGAUGAUUAGUUGACCCGUUUCCUUAAUUAGGGAGAUUAGCUGCCUUUUCUGUUCUUAAUAGAGUUCUCUAAAUACCUGUACAUCAAUAUAGAAAAUUAUUCAGCCUUUUUCAUAUUUUCUGUUCUUUGUUUUUAUAGUAUCAGAGCAGAAAAUAAAAUCCUAAGGUUGAAUUUUUUUAGUCUUUAAAAUGCCCGAAGUCAUGUCCGAGACAAACUAGCCUCUUCAGCCAUCUCAGUCCAAACCUCAAAGAAAUCCAUAUGAAAACCAUCCUAUUCGGAUUAAUACAAUCCGACUAAAUGGUGACAAUUUCCUUAGAUGGUCAUAAUCUGUUCGCAUGUACCUCCGAAGGAGAGGAAAGAUUGGCUAUACCACAGCGAUGCUAAGCAGCUUGACGUGAAUGAUAAAACCUAUGCCAUUUGGGAUGCUAAAAAUUCAAUGGUGAUUACAUGUUCGUCAAUUCCAUAACUGAAGAGAUAAGCGCAAACUACCUCUAUUACACUACAGCCAAGGAAUUAUGGGACAAUGUUUCAAAGAUGUAUUCUGAUCUAGGAAAUCAAUCCCAAGUUUACGAGUUAACCCUACGACUUGGAGAAAUUUUCCAAGGUGAGGAUUCUGUAACAAAGUAUUUUAAUUCUUUUAAGAGCAUUUGGCAGGAUUUGGACUUACUCAAUGAUUAUGAGUAGAAAUCAACCGACGACUGCAAUCAAUACAAAAAGAUAGUGGAUACUGGCCGAAUAUUCAAAUUUCUUGCAGGUUUGAAUGUUGAAUAUGAUAAGGUCUAUGGCCGGAUAAUCAGAAGAAAUCCCUUGUCUCCUAUUGGGGAAGUAUUUGCUGAGGUAAGGAGAGAAGAGAGUCAGAGACACGUGAUGUUGGGAAAGAAGACAACAGGUACAACCGGGUCUGAAGAAGGAUCAGCCUUGGCCAUUCCUGAAGCUCAAGUAAGCAGUAGAACUUCCCAAAACCAGCAUGCAGAAGACAAAAGCAACUUGCACUGUGAUUACUGCGGAAGGUCGCACCAUAUCCAAGAAAAAUGUUGGAAGUUGCAUGGCAAACCAUCUAAUGGUAGGGCAAAGAAAUCUUAUGAGCAAAACAUGCUUGCAGCAAAUGAGGCCGGGUCAUCUCCAUUUAGUAAAGAGCAAUUAAAUCAACUUCUUAAACUACUGAAAUCCUGCCCAUCAUCUAAUGCUCCUAUCGGAUCUAUGGCACAAACAGGUAGCAAUCCUUUGGCACUUUCUGUUCUUGGAAGAACCACCCCUUGGAUCAUAGAUUCAGGGGCCUCCGAUCAUAUGACAAGCUGUUCCUCAGAAGACAAAAGCAACUUGCACUGUGACUACUGCGGAAGGUCGCACCAUACCCAAGAAAAAUGUUGGAAGUUGCAUGGCAAACCAUCUAAUGGUAGGGCAAAGAAAUCUUAUGAGCAAAACAUGCUUGCAGCAAAUGAGGCCGGGUCAUCUCCAUUUAGUAAAGAGCAAUUAAAUCAACUUCUUAAACUACUGAAAUCCUGCCCAUCAUCUAAUGCUCCUAUCGGAUCUAUGGCACAAACAGGUAGCAAUCCUUUGGCACUUUCUGUUCUUGGAAGAACCACCCCUUGGAUCAUAGAUUCAGGGGCCUCCGAUCAUAUGACAAGCUGUUCCUAAAUUUUUCAUACAUAUUAUCCAUGUUCUGGAAUCGAAAAAAUUAGAAUAGCUUAUGGCAGUUUUUCACGUAUUGCAGGCAAACGGAACCUUAAAAUUUCAAAAAAAAAUUCUUUAAGUUCAGUUUUACACAUUCCAAAACUUGCUUGUAACCUUUCUUUCUGUUAGCAAAUUUUCCAAAGACUAACUGUUCCAUUCUUUUCUCUUGUUCCACAUGUUUUUCAGGACUUGAACUCGGGGAAGACGAUUGGAACAGCUAGAGAAAUAAAUGGGCUGUACUACUUUGAUGGAAUUGGUUCCGGCAAUAAAACAACUCAUGGAUUAGUUAUUGAUGAUCACACAAGAAUUUGCUGGGCUUAUUUGUUGGAAAAGAAAUCUGAAGUAGAAUUGAAAGGGCUGAAAGCGUAGCUACGGGAUGUAGAUGUUGAUUUUGGAGGUCGCGUACUUCUUUGGUUAGAAGAUAACAAUUUAAAGAUUUGUUUUCAUAUGGUUGAAAAUCAUUUCAAACAAAAAUUCGCAUUCUAAGAAUGGAUAAUGGAACUGAAUAUUUCAAUAAAUAUUUGAAAACAUUUCUUCUAGAAAAAGGUAUUCUUCAUCAAUCAACUUGUCGUGACACACCACAACAAGAUGGUAUUGCCGAAAGAAAAAAUAGGCGUUUACUAGAAGUUGCUCGGGCACUUAUGUUUUGCAUGAAUGUUCCUAAAUAUCACUGGGGUAAUGUGCUCCUAACCUCUUGUUACUUGAUAAAUAAAAUGCCAUCUCAUAUUUUGAGAUUUGAAACACCUUUAUAGGUUUUGAAAAAUUGCUUUCAUGCAUCAAAGAUAAUAACAGAUCUGCCUUUAAAGGUUUUUGGGUGCACAUGUUAUGUGUAUGUUCCAAAUAUGUUUCAUUCUAAACUUGACCCUAAAGCAGAAAAAUGCGUCUUUAUUGGUUAUGCUUCUAAUAGACGUGGAUAAAAAGUGUUUUAAUCCAAUCAUUAAGAGAUCU